UACGUAGGUGGCAAGCGUUGUCCGGAUUUACUGGGCGUAAAGAGCGCGCAGGCGGUCGUACAAGUCGGGUGUGAAAGCCCCCGGCUCAACUGGGGAGGGUCACGCGAUACUGUUCGACUCGAAGGCAGGAGAGGGAAGCAGAAUUCCCGGUGUAGUGGUGAAAUGCGUAGAUAUCGGGAGGAAUACCAGUGGCGAAGGCGGCUUCCUGGCCUGUUCUUGACGCUGAGGCGCGAAAGCUAGGGUAGCAAACGGG
rnacentral:rRNA from 1 species